AAAAGAGCAGUUUCCCCCCUAUAAUAUAUUGGUGUGACAUGGUAAAUGCUAAACAUUUAAUUUCUUUCUUCUUCUAGAAUAAUGCUAUCAAAGUUAAAAACAAAAACCGGAAAAAAUCAAAAGAAUCCAAGGCUAUUUUAGUUGUGUCUGGUGGAGUUGGUACAGUAACUCAAGAAGAAGACAAUAUACUUUCUGAAGAAAAUACAUUAAGUUUUAUGAAUCCACAUGAGCCUUUUAGAAUCCCAGAUGAUCUUCAUGAACAAGUUGUGAUAUUUGAAGCAUUGUAUAAUACUGCUUCUUCUAACAACAGUUAUCAGAGAAUUUUGGACAGUUACCCAGAUCCAAC
rnacentral:lncRNA from 1 species